CAAACUUCAAAUUACCACCCACAGAGAGAAUUCUCCAGCAGCCUGCCUUCAGACUUCAUCUGCAGCACUGGCUGUUUCUUAUUCUACAGAGGACUAGAACUAGGACACCAGCCUUUCCUGGGUCUCCAGCCUGCCUGUUCACCCUGCAGAUUUUGGAUUUGCUAACUUCUGUAAUAAUGUGCUAAGGACCUUGUCUGCAGUUACCUCAGCAGUGAUUAUUCUGGCAGAGAGAAAGCAAAGACCUCGCAGAAAUCAACUGAAGUCUACCUGAAACUCGAGGACUUGGCUUCGGAAGGAAAAACAACAAACUGGUACUUCUCUGGAUAAAAAGAUCUGGUUCUGAUGUCUAACUGGUGAUCCUAUCUAGAAUCAAGUGACAGGGAGGAAGAAGGCUCUAGAAAUUAGCUGACUUAAGUACUUCCUGAUGUUAAAUCUUUCGCCAUUUCUAUGAGUCCAAAGAAGCACAAUAUUUGGAUCUCUUCAGAUUAAAUCUGCUCUGUUGAUUUGUUCAUCAGUGAGCCUCUCAAACAUCUACAUUGGCAACAACCUUCUCAGGACACGGCCCGUCUGAGAAGCUCUGGUGGGUGCGGGCUGGAAGGAGGAGCUGCAGGCCUCUGCAUGUGGACUGGGACCAGACAGCUCUGCCACCUCAGUGUCUGUCGGCGCUGCCAGACUCACGGAAAAGUUCCUUUCAUUUCUCACAUUUUAUUCAGUGCCAGCUUGGGAGGCCUGUAGAGGGUUCAGGGGCCCAGCUACUGUGCUAACCAGAGCACUAUAAGUGACAAAUGCUGUUUUUUCCUUUUUAUCUCUUUCUUUCUGCCUUCCAGGAAGAUUUAAACAACAAUAACAACAACAACAACACCAAAUAACUCACUUUUUACUUUCAAGCACACCCUGUUCCUUCACAAGAAAAAAAGCCCACAGAGCAACUCCAUAAAGUCUCUAUUCAGCACUCCUUGUUGGUUUUUGGCUCAGGGUUCAGCUAACUCAUUCCCAGAGCACACAGCAGCAGGGGAGGUGGGGUUCACAGCAGAGAACAGUAAAAAGAUCUCCAGAUUUCCUGAGGAUUCCAGAAUGCACUGGAAAACCACUAGUGUUUCUGGAUGAGUGGCAUGGAGCACAGCAGUGACUUUAUUACCUAUUUCACCCCCUUAAAUUGGAGCUUGCCCACAUCAGGGCUGGCCAGCCACUCCAACCCAUUCCUGCCUAUACACAUCCCCCGUCUGAAAGGGCUUCCUUGGGGGAAACUGGGCAUCUUCCUUUGCCAUCCCUUGAACAGGCUUUUGUAGGUGGCUUUUGCAUUCGUGAUUCCUACCUUAGAAGGAGAUACCUAAGCCAUCCUUCUGGCUGCUCGGGGCAAAAACUUUGGCAUCAUCCUGGACUCCACUUUCUCACAUCCCACUUCCAAUACACUAGCUUAGCCGGUCAGCUCCACAUUCAAACUUAUUCAGGAUGUAUCAGUCAGGGUUCAACCAGAGAAACUGAACCAGUAGGAGAGUCAUAUUAAGAGGAAUUGCCCUACAUAUGUUACCAGUUGGGGGUGUCCAGGUUCUUGGCAUCUUGAACGAAGAAUUGGACAAAACACACAAACAAACCAAGGAAAGAAUGAAGCAACAAAAGCAGAGAUUUAUAGAAAACAAAAGUACACUCCACAGGGUGGGAGCGGCUGAGCAUAGGGGCUUAAGAGCCCGGUUACAGAAUUUUCUGGGGUUUAAAUACCAUCUAGAGGUUUCCAUUGGUUACUUGGUGUACGCCCUAUGUAAAUGAAGAGGCUAAAGUGAGGUUACAAAGUUAUGUAUUUGGUGUACAUUCUAUGUAAAUGACGAGUGUAGUUCCUGUCAUAGCUGAAGUGUUUCCAUUUGAUUUAGUUCUAGGAAGCCCUGAGGUUCCCUGCCUCCAGGCCCGAUUCUCCUGCCUCACAUAAUCAUGGGGCUGGUUAGGCCAGUGGGAAAUCCAUAGGGCACACCGUCAGAAAGAGCAGGUUGGAACUCCUGGGCAUGAGCGGAAUUGCCAUCCACAGGCAGAAUUUCUUCAUCAGGGAACGCUCAGCUCUUCUAGGGCCUUUCAAUGGAUUGGAUCAGGCCCACCUUCAAUCUAGGAUUAUCUCCCUGGCUGAAAGUCAGUUGAUGAGGGACUUUAAUCAUGUCCGUAAAAUGUCUUCACAGCAACACCCAGAUUAGUGUUUGACUGAAUAACUGAGGACUGUAGCUUAGCCAACUUGACACCUAAAACCUAUUGUCACCUUAUCUAGCCUUGACUCUUCCAGAGUCACCCCCCACCUUGGUUGAAACUACCAUUAUUUGUCCCCUGAAUUAUCGUGUUAGCCUCUACACCAGCUUCCUGCUUCUUGCCCUAUCCUCCCUGGCCUUCCUCCUCCCACUCCCAACUAUUUUCAACAGAGCAACUAGACUGACACAUUCUUGGCUGCAGAGUGAGCAGUUGCUCCAUUGCUCAAAGCCCUUGUGGUGGACAGAAUGAUGGUUCCUCAAAGAUGUUCACAUCCUAAUCCUUGGAACCUGUGAAUAUGUUACCUUACAUAGCAAAGGGGACUUUGUACAUGUGCUUAGGGUAUGGACUUUGAGAUGAGGAGAGUAUCCUGGAUUAUCCAGGGGAGCCCAGUCUAAUCACAUGAAUUGUCAGCAGUAGAAGAGGAAGACAGAAGAAUGGGUCAGAGGAAUGUGACAUGAAAAGAGCCUGUCCCU
rnacentral:lncRNA from 1 species